AGUAGUUUUGCAGAAGUAGUAGUAGUAGUAGUAGUACUAGUAGUAGAAGUAAUAGUAGUAACUUUCAAAGCAAUGUCUACAUGUUUAAAUUCCUUAACCCUGUUCAAGGUGUAUACACACUCAAUAUUUAACUACAGUCCAGGUUUGCAAUUAACAAACUAUCUGAUAAACCUGUGUGUGAGUCAGAUAUGUCUGCUGCUAAUCUAUUGGUUAUAAAAUAUCACAGCCUUUUCUGAUUGGCUGAGUUCAAAUACAGAAAGUUUACCUGUUAGAUUGAAAUUCUGGAGUAGGCGUAUUGUAGAAAAUAUGCAGGUUAAACUUGUUGUUAAAAUGAAGUUAAUGUAAUGUUCACAAACAGUAGAGUUAAUGAGUUUUUCCAUUAACAAGAAUUUCUUAAAAUAAUAAUGUAUGGAUAUCAUUUGGAAAGUGACAUGAAAUGUUGUUAAAAAGUGAUGCAUACAAGUGUUUCAGAAGUCUGUCUAGGAAUAGAACAAGAACUGAAGCUGACCAGUUGAUGGAAGAUACUGCAGAGUUUGGCAGGGAAAUAACCCAAGACAGCAAAGCGGCUCUUUUGGCGCAUUUACCAAGAGGACUAACAUGGCCACAAAUUCAUGAGAUCAUGCAGGAGCCGUACAGUAUAACAGCAGUACAAGUUCUAUAAAAGAUCCACGACCUACUGAAGCCCAGCUAAUAAACAAAAAAGUUUUUAAAAACUGUAAUUUUAUCCCACCUGGG